rnacentral:tRNA from 1 species
GCUCUGGUGGCACAAUGGUUAAGUGCUCAGCUACUAACUGAAAGGGCAGUGGUUCAAAUCCACUAGCG